AGAGUUUGAUCAUGGCUCAGGACGAACGCUGGCGGCGUUAACACAUGCAAGUCGAGCGGAAAGGCCCUUCGGGGUACUCGAGCGGCGAACGGGUGAGUAACACGUGAGUAACCUGCCUUCAGCUUUGGGAUAACCCUCGGAAACGGGGGCUAAUACCGGGUAUUCACACUUGGUGGCAUCGUUGGGUGUGGAAAGUUUUUCGGCUGGGGAUGGGCUCGCGGCCUAUCAGCUUGUUGGUGGGGUAAUGGCCUACCAAGGCGGCGACGGGUAGCCGGCCUGAGAGGGCGACCGGCCACACUGGGACUGAGACACGGCCCAGACUCCUACGGGAGGCAGCAGUGGGGAAUAUUGCACAAUGGGCGGAAGCCUGAUGCAGCGACGCCGCGUGGGGGAUGACGGCCUUCGGGUUGUAAACCUCUUUCGACCCUGACGAAGCGUGAGUGACGGUAGGGGGAGAAGAAGCACCGGCCAACUACGUGCCAGCAGCCGCGGUAAGACGUAGGGUGCGAGCGUUGUCCGGAUUUAUUGGGCGUAAAGAGCUCGUAGGCGGCUCGUCGCGUCGACCGUGAAAACUUGGGGCUUAACCCUAAGCUUGCGGUUGAUACGGGCGGGCUAGAGUUCGGUAGGGGAGACUGGAAUUCCUGGUGUAGCGGUGAAAUGCGCAGAUAUCAGGAGGAACACCGGUGGCGAAGGCGGGUCUCUGGGCCGAUACUGACGCUGAGGAGCGAAAGCGUGGGGAGCGAACAGGAUUAGAUACCCUAGUAGUCC
rnacentral:rRNA from 1 species